GACGAACGCUGGCGGCGUGCUUAACACAUGCAAGUCGAACGGAAAGGCCCUGCUUUUGUGGGGUGCUCGAGUGGCGAACGGGUGAGUAACACGUGAGUAACCUGCCCUUGACUUUGGGAUAACUUCAGGAAACUGGGGCUAAUACCGGAUAGGAGCUCCUGCUGCAUGGUGGGGGUUGGAAAGUUUCGGCGGCUGGGGAUGGACUCGCGGCUUAUCAGCUUGUUGGUGGGGUAGUGGCUUACCAAGGCUUUGACGGGUAGCCGGCCUGAGAGGGUGACCGGCCACAUUGGGACUGGGAUAUGGCCCAGACUCCUACGGGAGGCAGCAGUGGGGAAUAUUGCACAAUGGGCGGAAGUCUGAUGCAGCAACGCCGCGUGCGGGAUGACGGCCUUCGGGUUGUAAACCGCUUUCGCCUGUGACGAAGCGUGAGUGACGGUAAUGGGUAAAGAAGCACCGGCUAACUACGUGCCAGCAGCCGCGGUGAUACGUAGGGUGCGAGCGUUGUCCGGAUUUAUUGGGCGUAAAGGGCUCGUAGGUGGUUGAUCGCGUCGGAAGUGUAAUCUUGGGGCUUAACCCUGAGCGUGCUUUCGAUACGGGUUGACUUGAGGAAGGUAGGGGAGAAUGGAAUUCCUGGUGGAGCGGUGGAAUGCGCAGAUAUCAGGAGGAACACCAGUGGCGAAGGCGGUUCUCUGGGCCUUUCCUGACGCUGAGGAGCGAAAGCGUGGGGAGCGAACAGGCUUAGAUACCCUGGUAGUCCACGCUGUAAACGGUGGGUACUAGGUGUGGGGUCCAUUCCACGGGUUCCGUGCCGUAGCUAACGCUUUAAGUACCCCGCCUGGGGAGUACGGCCGCAAGGCUAAAACUCAAAGGAAUUGACGGGGCCCCGCACAAGCGGCGGAGCAUGCGGAUUAAUUCGAUGCAACGCGUAGAACCUUACCUGGGUUUGACAUGGAUCGGGAGUGCUCAGAGAUGGGUGUGCCUCUUUUGGGGUCGGUUCACAGGUGGUGCAUGCCUGUCGUCAGCUCGUGUCGUGAGAUGUUGGGUUAAGUCCCGCAACGAGCGCAACCCUUGUUCACUGUUGCCAGCACGUUAUGGUGGGGACUCAGUGGAGACCGCCGGGGUCAACUCGGAGGAAGGUGGGGAUGACGUCAAGUCCUCAUGCCCCUUAUGUCCAGGGCUUCACGCAUGCUACAAUGGCUGGUACAGAGAGUGGCGAGCCUGUGAGGGUGAGCGAAUCUCGGAAAGCCGGUCUCAGUUCGGAUUGGGGUCUGCAACUCGACCUCAUGAAGUCGGAGUCGCUAGUAAUCGCAGAUCAGCAACGCUGCGGUGAAUACGUUCCCGGG
rnacentral:rRNA from 1 species